AGUAACACGUAGGCAACCUGCCCUUCAGACUGGGAUAACUACCGGAAACGGUAGCUAAUACCGGAUAAUUUCUUUUUUCUCCUGAGAGAAGAAUGAAAGACGGAGCAAUCUGUCACUGAGGGAUGGGCCUGCGGCGCAUUAGCUAGUUGGUGGGGUAACGGCCCACCAAGGCGACGAUGCGUAGCCGACCUGAGAGGGUGAACGGCCACACUGGGACUGAGACACGGCCCAGACUCCUACGGGAGGCAGCAGUAGGGAAUCUUCCGCAAUGGGCGAAAGCCUGACGGAGCAACGCCGCGUGAGUGAUGAAGGUUUUCGGAUCGUAAAGCUCUGUUGCCAGGGAAGAACGUCCGGUAGAGUAACUGCUACCGGAGUGACGGUACCUGAAAAGAAAGCCCCGGCUAACUACGUGCCAGCAGCCGCGGUAAUACUUAGGGGGCAAGCGUUGUCCGGAAUUAUUGGGCGUAAAGCGCGCGCAGGAGGCUAUUUAA
rnacentral:rRNA from 1 species